UAGAUUUCUUGGGGAAAGCCAGUUUUGGAUCGUGUUGGCCUCAUUAUAGAGAUCUUCAAUUCCCAUGCGGAGACCAAAGAGGCAAAGCUGCAGUCUGAACUAGCAGCCCUCAUGUACAAGAGGAGUCGUCUUGUUCGAGUGCGGGGUUCACAUGGACGUCUUACUUUUGGAAUAAAUGGUGAAGCUGAGGUUGUCAGUGGCCGUGGGAGAGGAAGUGGUGGGCGUGGUUUUAUUAGUGGUGCUGGAGAAACAGAGCUACAGCUCCAACGGAGGAGGUAAACUUGUA